UCUCCAUAAAGAACCACUAUUAAAAAAGUCUUCAUUCAUUAUUCUUACAGGCAAUUUUAGAAUCUGUGCUAAACUAAUCACAAAAUAUUUCAACAGCUGUGUUUGUGUUAAUCUUUACUAUGUGACAGCUCUAACGUAUAUUUUAGCUUCAAGUAUUAUAUAUAUAUAUAUUUAGCAAGAGCAUUUCCACUUCGUUGUGUGGCGCCACAUUCUAUCUCAGCGAAUCUAUGCUGCCUCGCUAAAUAGAAGCAUGGCAAGCGCUGACUAUGGGUAGUUCCCUUCCCCAUUGCCACGCCCAGGCGCUUCUCCAGUUUCUGUCUGACGCCUUGCAACGAUGAUAUAUUAAUUGGGUUUUUAUUUAUGAUGCGAUGGCUGUUGCUUUUUUUUGUGCUGUGUUUUCGUGUUUUUCCUUUUAUUUGCUAAUAAUUGAUUUUUGGCCCGCACACACACUCGCUGUCAACGCUGACCAGUUCAACAAACUGCUGACGUCUGCCAGCCAAGUUCGGGAGCAGCCAAAACACUGACCCACAAGGACCCAACGAACUGAGCUCUAAAUGUUAUUUGCCAUGCAUUCGAUGUGUGUAUAUUGUUGUGUGUGCUGUUGUUGUGUGUUGUGUGUGUGUGUGUGUGCAGCUUAGGGACUCGCUGUGUGGCUAUAGCAAUUUAUUAGUAGCUGUAAUGAGCAGAGUUUAUUGAUGUCCCGUGUGUUUAUGAUCUAAAUUUACAUGCACACCAAUACACAGACUCACACACACACACACUCAGUGUCCAUGGGGCAAUGCAAACACUUGUCAUCAUUAAAAUAGCUGCAGUUGCAACAGAUGUUGUUGCCGUUGCCAUUGCUAAACAAUAAAUAAAGGCAAUUUGCAGCUGCAAUUAUUAUGAAAGCUGAUAACAACAGUUAGCCAACUACCUACCCACAACAAAAACACACACACACACACACACACGCGCACACACACUCAGCUGCCAUACGUUCAUAACGUUUUGUAUAAAGUUAGCCAGGCUCACAGUUGAAA